CUACGUCACAAGAACCUGUGGAACCACCCGAUCCCAUCCCGAACUCGGAAGUGAAACGCAGCUGCGCCGAUGGUAGUGUGGCUCAAGCCAUGCGAGAGUAGGUCAUCGCCAGGG
rnacentral:rRNA from 1 species